rnacentral:siRNA from 1 species
CAGCAAGGCAAUAAAACCAC